GAAGGCGUGAUAAGUGGCUCGUCGUGCUGAUUUGAUGAGGGCCUAUUACUUUAAUCAUAUGGGUAUGGGUAUGUGAUAAGUGGUAAACAAAGCAUUGGCAGGCAACCAUAUAAUAUUUUUGCUCAAACGUAUGUCUGGAGAACCAUGGCUCAUAGGUAAACCAGACCAGUAUAGAAGGGGAAAAAUAGAAAUUUUUAUAUAUUGAUCGACAUCAUCACAUUCCUCGAUGACGUCGCACCCCGUGGCUCUAAUUUUUAAGUCUUCCCCAUGC
rnacentral:lncRNA from 1 species